rnacentral:rRNA from 1 species
CCCUUAGAUGUCCUGGGCUGCACGCGCGCUACACUGAAAGUUACGGAUUGACUUUUUACCUUGUCCGAAAUGGUCCGGGUAAUCACCUAAAAGCUUGUCAUAAUUGGAAUGGAUUAUUGUAACUAGUAAUCCUGAACGAGGAAUUCCUAGUAAGUCCCAGUCAACAGCUGGUACUGAUUACGUCCCUGCCCUUUGUACACACCGCCCGUCGCUCCUACCGAUUGGGUGUGCUGGUGAAAUGUUCGGAUCGGCCGUUUGUCGCGGUUUCCGCGUCAUGUGGCUGAGAAGUUCAUUAAACCCUCCCACCUAGAGGAAGGAGAAGUCGUAACA